GAUGAACGCUGGCGGCGUGCCUAAUACAUGCAAGUCGAGCGAACAGACGAGGAGCUUGCUCCUCUGACGUUAGCGGCGGGCGGGUGAGUAACACGUGGAUAACCUACCUAUCAGACUGGGAUCACUUCGGGAAACCGGAGCUAAUACCGGAUAAUCUCUUGAACCGCAUGGUUCAAUAGUGAAAUACGGCUUUGCUGUCUCUUAUAGAUGGAUCCGCGCCGCAUUAGCUAGUUGGUAAGGUUACGGCUUACCAAGGCAACUAUGCGUAGCCGACCUGAUAGGGGGAUAGGCGACACGGGAACUGGGACAGCGUCCAGACUACUACGGGAGGCAGCAGAAGGGAAUCGGCCGCAACAGGGGAAAGCCUGACAGAGCAACGCCGCGUGAGUGAUGAAGGUCUUGGGAGCGUAAAACUCUGUUAUUAGGGAAGAACAAAUGUGGAAGUAGAUAUGCACGUCGUGACGGUACCUAAUCAGAAAGCAACGGCUAACUACGUG
rnacentral:rRNA from 1 species